AAUAGACAUCACAGCUCACACAAGCAGCUUUCAGUUCACUACAUAGAACUGACAUACUGAUCAGUUCUUGGAGUAGAGCUGGCCACCACCGGCCACCGCAUCGUGCUGAUUCACCCAAGUUAGCGCCUUCUCGAACUGCGCCCACCUCUGCUCGAGAGUACCACUAUACCCCACCGACAUCCUCACAAGCCCAGGCGAAAUGCCAGCCAGCAUCCGGUCUCCAGGGCUCAUCUCACUGCUAGUGGUGCUGCCAGAGCAUGACAUUAGGGUUUCGUAGUAGCCCAAGCUGACUGCCAUAAGUCCAAACUGUGUGGUAUUCUGCAGGUGAUGCAUUAGCCGGUUUGCACGUUCUUCGGUGCCCAUGUCGACGCAGAGCAUGCCACCGAAGCCGUAGCUGGGGUUGGCGA
rnacentral:misc_RNA from 1 species